rnacentral:rRNA from 1 species
UACGAAGGGGGCUAGCGUUGUUCGGAAUCACUGGGCGUAAAGGGCGCGUAGGCGGCCGGUCAAGUCGGGGGUGAAAGCCUGUGGCUCAACCACAGAAUGGCCUUCGAUACUGGUUGGCUCGAGACCGGAAGAGGUGAGUGGAACUGCGAGUGUAGAGGUGAAAUUCGUAGAUAUUCGCAAGAACACCAGUGGCGAAGGCGGCUCACUGGUCCGGUUCUGACGCUGAGGCGCGAAAGCGUGGGGAGCAAACAGG